ensembl:lncRNA
GAUAAAAAACGACAGUGUUAUAGGAGGCAUAGAAAAAUGGAGAAUAUGUUUUUUUCAUGACAGCCAAUAAAAAACGACAGUGUUACCCCUUAUGUUUUUUUUCAUGACGACCGAUAAAAAACGACAGUGUUAUAGGAGGCAUAGAAAAAUGGAGAAUAUGUUUUUUUCAUGACAGCCAAUAAAAAACGACAGUGUUACCCCUUAUGUUUUUUUUCAUGACAGCAGAUAAAAAACAACAGUGUUAUAGGAGGCAUAGAAAAAUGGAGAAUAUGUUUUUUUCAUGACGAACGAUAAAAAACGACAUGUUACCCCUUAUGUUUUUUCAUGACGACCGAUAUAAAACGACAGUGUUAUAGGAGGCAUAGAAAAAUUGAGAAUGUUUUUUUAUGACGAACGAUAAAAAACGACAGUGUUACCCCUUAUGUUUUUUUUCAUGACAGCAGAUAAAAAACAACAGUGUUAUAGGAGGCAUAGAAAAAUGGAGAAUAUAUAUUUUUUAUGUUUUUUUUUAUGACAGCAGAUAAA